AUGUUCGGUAAUCUGGUAUCUGC
rnacentral:siRNA from 1 species